GUGCUUGCUUAAGCAGCACAUAUACUAACAUUGGAGCAAAACAGAGAAGGUUAGCGUGGACCCUGCACAAUAUUGACAUGAAAAUUCAUGAAGUGUUCCCUUAAAAA
rnacentral:snRNA from 1 species